rnacentral:rRNA from 1 species
UACGUAGGUGGCAAGCGUUGUCCGGAUUUAUUGGGUUUAAAGGGUGCGUAGGCGGUGACUUAAGUCAGUGGUGAAAUACUUCAGCUUAACUGGAGAGGUGCCAUUGAUACUGAUUCACUUGAGUACUGAUGAGGUAGGCGGAAUGGACGGUGUAGCGGUGAAAUGCUUAGAUAUCGUCCAGAACACCGAUAGCGAAGGCAGCUUACUAAGGAGUAACUGACGCUGAGGCACGAAAGUGUGGGGAUCAAACAGG